rnacentral:rRNA from 1 species
GACAUAGGUGGCAAGCGUUAUCCGGAAUUAUUGGGCGUAAAGGGUGCGUAGGUGGUUUAAUAAGUUAUUGGUGGGAAAACGGGGCCCAACUCCGUGGAAGCUAGUAAUACUAUUAGACUAGAGGACCGGAGAGGUUAACGGAAUGGCUCGCGUAGGGGUAAAAUCCGUAAAUACGAGUUGGAACACCAAAAGGCGAAGGCAGUUAACUAUUCGGUUCCUGACAUUGAGGCACGAAAGCGUGGGGAGCAAGACGG